rnacentral:rRNA from 1 species
ACUCCGGUUGAUCCUGCCGGACCCGACUGCUAUCGGAUUGGGAUUUAGCCAUGUUAGUUGUGCGUUCCUUGGCUACAGGGGACGCAGCGUACGGCUCAGUAACACGUAGUCAACCUGCCCUGGAGACGCGGACAAACCCGGGAAACUGGGGCCUAUCCGCGAUAGAUGGCCUCAUCUGGAAGGAGAGGCCGUCCAAAAGGGCGCACGGGUAUGCUCUGUGCGAACCGCUCCAGGAUGGGACUGCGGCCGAUCAGGCUGUUGGCGGGGCAAUGGCCCACCAAACCUGUAACCGGUACGGGCUUUGAGAGAAGGAGCCCGGAGAUGGACACUGAGACAAGGGUCCAGGCCCUACGGGGCGCAUCAGGCGCGAAACCUUCGCAAUGCGCGCAAGCGCGACGAGGGGAACUCGAUAGCAGUGACCGCCGGCAGGAUCAACCGGAGUUUCUGAUUGAUUCUACCUUGAAAUAUAUAGGAUUGCGGAAUGGACUAUCUCUUCCCAUCUCAGAUUCGAAAAUAGUACUCGAAUCCUCAUUCAUUUCGCCGCUCAGGAACCAGACUUUCAUGCUGUC